GUCGGGGUGGCUCAGCCUGGUUAGAGCGCCUGACUCAUAAUCAGGAGGUCGCGGGUUCAGAUCCCGCUCCCGACA
rnacentral:tRNA from 2 species